UGUUGGAUCUAGUCUGAUCCGUCUUCUCAGUGACACAGAUGAUGAUGAAGAUGAUGAUGAAGAUUUCACUGAUCCCACUGCUGAUCAUGAUGGUUUUCCUGAUUAGGGGGGCAUCUGCACAACGUGUCCUGAAUCAAGCAGAUAAAUUAAAGUCUGUUCGUCUCUGAGA